UAAGAUCUUGGCAUCUCGAUUCUCAUGCCAUGGAUAUGGAUAUGGAUGGAGCCGUCUGGAUAGUUUCCGUAUGCCGACCUGAAAGAUAGCACAUCUUUUCUGCUUGGCUUCGACGCCUAUCGAAGCUCUGGCGGCCGAGACGGGCAAAAUUCUCUUGUUGAUUGGAUCUUAACUGGAUUUCUUGUUCCAUGGCGUCAACAGGCCGGCCGAUACUGAUUCAACCUAAUUUCUUCUUGUUCGGUAGGUCGGUUUUUCCGGAUCUCGCCUCCAAGAUUGUUCCAUCUUUUCUCGACCUCAAAUCUGUUUGUUCAUGCCUACAGGAUCUCCUCGCGGCCGGCUCUAUGCAUACCUCGUGUCCGAUGCACGCGUUCAUUGUGUAGAACANCAGAUCGAUCUGAGCUGCUCAUGCCCGGUGAGUCUAGAUAGACUUGUAAUCGUUCAUUGUUUGUGGUUAAUUUCAAUCAGAACGAAACUUCUUUUGGUUUCUGAUGUUACGAAG
rnacentral:lncRNA from 1 species